UACGGAGGGUCCAAGCGUUAUCCGGAUUUAUUGGGUUUAAAGGGUACGUAGGCGGAAAAUUAAGUCAGUAGUGAAAGCCCAUCGCUCAACGAUGGAACUGCUAUUGAUACUGGUUUUCUUGAAUAUACUUGAAGUGGGCGGAAUACGACAUGUAGCGGUGAAAUGCAUAGAGAUGUCGUAGAACACCGAUUGCGAAGGCA
rnacentral:rRNA from 1 species